rnacentral:rRNA from 1 species
UGAGGAAUAUUGGUCAAUGGGCGGAAGCCUGAACCAGCCAUCCCGCGUGCAGGAAGACGGCCCUAUGGGUUGUAAACUGCUUUUCCAGGGGGAGAAACUUUCCGAUGUAUCGGGAUUUGACGGUACCCUGGGAAUAAGCAUCGGCUAACUCCGUGCCAGCAGCCGCGGUAAUACGGAGGAUGCGAGCGUUAUCCGGAUUUAUUGGGUUUAAAGGGUGCGUAGGCGGAUCGAUAAGUCAGUGGUGAAAACCUGCAGCUUAACUGUAGACUUGCCGUUGAUACUGUUGGUCUUGAGUAUGGUCAAGGUAGGCGGAAUGUGUAAUGUAGCGGUGAAAUGCUUAGAUAUUACACAGAAUACCGAUUGCGAAGGCAGCUUACUGGGCCAUUACUGACGCUGAGGCACGAAAGCGUGGGGAUCGAACA